rnacentral:lncRNA from 1 species
CCGGAGGGCAGCUUCCCGCUCCAGCCAGCACCCAUAUCAGGACACACAACAGACCCCAGCUGGCAGGGCUUUGGAGAAGUUCUGCCACGGACUUUCCAGGUCACACAGAUGGUGAGAGGCAGAGCAGAAGUUGAAAUCCAGGCAGCCCGGGGCCCACGCCACCCUGGCAACCUCUGCUGCUUCUCUGUGAUGAAUGUUACCUUAUCUGAGCAGGACUGGCACGCCUGCCUCAGAAAGCACUGGUUACCCUUUGCUUCGGGGCCCUGUGUUGUACUAAAGUCCACAGCAUCCUCUCCCCUCCCCCACUGCCGGCUCCAACCCAAAGUGAACAUGACUUAGAACUCAGAGCCAAAGUUCCAUUCUCGUGCUCAGCCUCAAAGUAGAUGAGGUGCUCCAGGGGAGGAGGUUUACUUGACAAGAGCUUAAGGAGGGAUUCAGAUUCAUGGGAGUUUUAACAAGCCAGACCUGGCUUUGGCCACUGGAACCGUGCUCAAAGCUCACCCAUGAAUGCUUUCAUUGUCUCAGAGGAAGGAGAGACUUACCAGGCACCUAACAGCCUGGCCACCUCUUAUCUUGCUGAAGUAUCUUUGGCCAGGUUUCUCCAUCACCUUCAUUCCCCACAUCUAACUGAUCAUCUCUGCUCUGUAGAAAUUCCAUAGGUUCCUGUCCCUCUGCUUUUAUUCCUCUGACUUUGCCCUAACCUUGCCAAUCUUCUUGUUUCCACUCCCAUUUGCUCAUCCACCCUAUUCACAAAAGUCUGACCAUCUCUUUCUAUCCUCGCAAAAGUUCAGAACUUCCCAUGACCCGUAUGAUCAAAGCUCAGAUUUUUUUAUUGUCAAAUUCUCAUGCUGCCGUGAGCUGAUCCUUACCCAACUGCAUGAAUUAUUUACUCCAAACUACUAUAGUCCUCCUGGCCCAUAAGAUGGUCUUCUCCAGUGAGGUUUAGGCAAGAUGGGCCUUUAUUCUGGCUCUACACUUAAGAGAUCCUGCUCUGGCCUUUGGUGGACUUUCCUCCUAGGGUGAAGAAUUGGGAGAGCCAAGAGAAUGUGUCCACCCUGGAGCCAGAAUGCCCUGCCCCAGUGGCCCAAUAGCAGUUUUCAUGGUCUGGAUGGUGGUAAAAUGGACUG